rnacentral:ncRNA from 2 species
UUUAAUUAAGGCGAUGGAGCUCGCCGGGGCAUUGCCCAAACCGCACAAUGUGCUAAUAGCUCCUGCCAUGUA